rnacentral:rRNA from 1 species
CAUGUAGGCGGUUUUUUAAGUCUGGAGUGAAAAUGCGGGGCUCAACCCCGUAUGGCUCUGGAUACUGGAAGACUUGAGUGCAGGAGAGGAAAGGGGAAUUCCCAGUGUAGCGGUGAAAUGCGUAGAUAUUGGGAGGAACACCAGUGGCGAAGGCGCCUUUCUGGACUGUGCCUGACGCUGAGAUGCGAAAGCCAGGGUAGCGAACG